UCACACACACACCUGUAUCACACACACACCUGGGGGGGGAGGGGACACACCUGGGGGGGGUCACACACACACCUGUAUCACACACACACCUGGGGGGGAGGGGACACACCUGGGGGGGGUCAUACACACACCUGUAUCACACACACACCUGGGGGGGAGGGGACACACCUGGGGACACACCUGGGGCUCUCACACUCCCCUCCCCCCCCAGGUGCUGGUGCUGCUCCCGGGCCGGGAGGCGCCGGUGCUGACGGCGCAGGUGGGGCUGCCCCCCAUUGCCACCUGAGUGUCACCUGAGUGUCACCUGAGUGUCACCUGUGCCACACCUGUGUCACCUGAGAGACACCUGAGUGUCACCUGAGACACCUGAGUGUCACCUGUGUCACCUGAGAGACACCUGAGAGACACCUGUGUCACCUGAGACACCUGUGUCACCCAUGUGUCACCUGAGUGUCACCUGAGACAGCUGAGUGUCACCUGUGUGUCACCUGAGAGACACCUGUGUCACCUGAGAGACACCUGUGUCACCUGAGAUACCUGAGCGUCACUUGAGACACCUGAGUGUCACCUGAGUGUCACCUGAGCAUCACCUGAGCAUCACCUGAGUGUCACCUGAGUGUCACCUGAGUGUCACCUGUGUCACCUGAGCAUCACCUGGGUGUCACCUGAGACACCUGAGUGUCACCUGGGGCACACCUGGCACCCGAGUGUCACCUGUCACCUGCGUCACCUGUUGUGACAUGGACGCCGUGUCGUGGUGUCCCCCUCCCCGUGUAACCAGCACCUGGCACCUGUGUCAGCCCCACCUGUCCCUGGUGUCACCUGUGUCCCCUCACCUGUGUCCCCUCACCUGUCUCACCUGUGUCCCCUCCCCCCGUGUCCCCAAUAAAGCUCCCGGUGCUCAGCCCUGGCUCGUUGGGGGAGGGGCGGCCCCAGUGCUCCCAGUGCCCCCCCCACGGCCAUCCCAGUGCUCCCAGUGCUCCCAGUACCCCCCAUGGCCAUCCCAGUGCUCCCAGUGCCCCCAGUGCUGGGUGAGAACCAGUCCCAGUGUCCCCAGUGCCACCAGUGAGCACCACCAGUGCUCCCAGUAUCGCCUCCCAGUGGGGGGGGGGGGGGGGGGGGGGGGGGGGGGGGGGGGGGGGGGGGGGGGG
rnacentral:lncRNA from 12 species